AUAAAACCCCUUCCCCACCCUGCUAAAGGUUUGUGUGCGAAAAAUGUGAUACUCAAGGAGUUAAAUGCAGAAGCGCCACUUCAGACUUAACAAUGCUGGGCCUGUUGUCCCCCCAAAAACUGCGUUUCACAUCUGGCUCCAAGGCAUUUGAACUGCAGCAAUUAUGGCUUUGUUGACUCCGUAAUUGGCCUAAUAAAUUACACUUUAUAAUUAGGGAUUUUGUGUGUGUGUGUGUGUGUAAAGUAUAAGUAGUUCAAGAGUAGCAGGCAGGAAGAUGGUGAAGGGGUGGGGGUUGUAAAACAGUCAAAGACAAUCGAUGAUCAUGAAUAGCACCAAGAUCAUGCUGUAGAGAUGGUUUUGCUCCUCUUAAAAGGGGCUGCUGCUGCUGCUUGCCGGAGGAUGGGGAGGCCCAGCUAAGGAAAACAGAGUUGGAGAGAAAAGCAGUGUUGGAAUACAGCUGGGGUCAUGACACUUGACCUUUCCAUUCCUUUUCCUCUUUGAAACCUGAUUAUCUCUAUUUUUAGGCACAUGGGUGGAGGAGGAGCGAGGAAGCAAGGGCAGCUGACCCUGGCACGCUAGGCUCUCUCAAAUUUUCUAGCCCACUGUAACCCCAUUGUUAAUGAGGUACUGCAAGCGGCGCUCCUUGAAACAAGCUCCAGCUGCAUCAGAAACGAUAGACUUGAUUCAGAGGCACAGAUCCUUUCAGUGAUCACCCUGAAGCAGAGACAUCCCGGACUUCACAUAGGAACCACUCAGCCUUUUGUGAGACUGCAUAAACAAACUGACUUAGUAGUUUGUUGCUUUAGCAGCAGCUGAAAACCAAGGAAGCAUCUUGGAUUACUUGUAGAAUACUGGCAUAAAAAACGAGUAUCUCAAUUAUUUAGUCUAAGUAGUUCCGAUUGUUCAUUUGCUUACUAGGAAAAUAUUGGACUGGUCAAGUUUACUCAGUUGGUGCCCUCAGUGUUUCCAGUUCCAAGGAAUACAGAGGUCUCCAUCCUGCAUCACGGAAUAGAAAUGAGAAAUGCAGAGAUGCAUGCCUUGCAAGUUGGGAAACGACUCCCCCUCCAGCAGUCUAUUGCAAGAAUGGAUCAUCUGUACGCUGGAAACGCUGGGCUCUUUGUACAGUCGUUGGAGACGAAAUUUCUCAGCUGAAGCCUUGAUCAGUUUCUUCUCUAACACCAUUGACCUGAAAUAAUAAACAUAAACCCCCAUUCCAAAGUUAUAAAUGUGAAGGGGAGAAAAUACAGAAUUGGUUCUUGUGUUUCA